UAAUACCGGAUAAUAAUAGGAACUGCAUAGUUCUCAUUUAAAAGAUGGCUCCGGCUAUCACUACAGGAUGGGCCCGCGACGCAUUAGCUAGUUGGUAAGGUAACGGCUUACCAAGGCGACGAUGCGUAGCCGACCUGAGAGGGUGAUCGGCCACACUGGGACUGAGACACGGCCCAGACUCCUACGGGAGGCAGCAGUAGGGAAUCUUCCGCAAUGGACGAAAGUCUGACGGAGCAACGCCGCGUGAGUGAUGAAGGGUUUCGGCUCGUAAAGCUCUGUUGUUAGGGAAGAACAAGUGCCGUUCAAAUAGGGCGGCACCUUGACGGUACUUAACCAGAAAGCCACGGCUAACUACGUGCCAGCAGCCGCGGUAAUACGUAGGUGGCAAGCGUUGUCCGGAAUUAUUGGGCGUAAAGCGCGCGCAGGCGGUCUUUUAAGUCUGAUGUGAAAUCUCGGGGCUCAACCCCGAGCGGUCAUUGGAAACUGGGAGACUUGAGUACAGAAGAGGAGAGUGGAAUUCCACGUGUAGCGGUGAAAUGCGUAGAUAUGUGGAGGAACACCAGUGGCGAAAGCGACUCUCUGGUCUGUAACUGACGCUGA
rnacentral:rRNA from 2 species